rnacentral:tRNA from 1 species
GCUUCUAUAGCUCAGUAGGCAGAGCGUAUCCAUGGUAAGGAUAAGGUCGUCGGUUCGAUCCCGACUGGAAGCUCCA